ensembl:miRNA Mir100 microRNA 100
CCUGUUGCCACAAACCCGUAGAUCCGAACUUGUGGUGAUAGUCCACACAAGCUUGUGUCUAUAGGUAUGUGUCUGUUAGG